UGUGAGCGCGCGCUGGAGAGACACGGGCGAAGGAGGAGGAGGAGGCAACGGGAAAACAGGGGAAUAGCGGUGGUUGGGGGGGAGCAUCGCCGAAGCGGAUUUCUGGCAUCCUCUGUGUGUAUAUCGCACUAUACUUCGCUCUCUCGAGUCGUUAUAUCUCGCGAGCGGAGGCGUCACCUUCGGUUUGUAGGUCGUUAUCUUGUGUGAGUGAGAAUGAGCGACGCCUGGCGCGAGCGCUGCCUUGCUGUGUAAAUCUGCGCCCAGCCUCUCCGCAUCGCGUGUCAGAUCUGAUGGGAGCCAAAGCGGAUACAGGUACAGCAUCAACACACAGACUGCUCUGAUCGCCACCAAAAUACAAGCGUCUGGUCUUUUUCACAGCGCAGGUCUUAUUAUUAUUAUUAUUAUUAUUAAUUGGUUUUUGGCAACAUGAUUUCUGUCGAUUGAGCUGCUUCUUUACACGGAAAGCGGAGGAGGAGGAGGAGGGGAACUGGACCGGGAUAUAUUUUUUGUUCAUUUUUGCCCCCUCACCGGGCACUUCUGAAUCACGCUCCUAUCAUAAUUUAACCAUCGGGUGUGAUGUAGGACAACGUCCGAAAUACGACAAGAGCAACGUUUAUGUUUCGGAGCUUGACUGUAACUGUGAUAUUAUCUUUUUCUGUCGUUUGUCUUCGGCCCCCGGAUACGCAUUUUUGAGGGAACCCAGCGGGGCAGAUAGGGGGAGAUAUAGACGUAGGGGAGAACGCAUCAGAGGUGGAAAACCCAGAGUGCUAAAGACAGAGAGAGAGCGCGCGAGAAAGAGAGAGAGAAAGAAAAAAACAAGGAACAUUAAAUCAUGCUGCCUUCGCAAGAAGCCUCCAAGAUCUAUCACGACAAUUACAUGCGCAACUCGCGGGCCAUCGGCGUGCUGUGGGCCAUCUUUACCAUCUGUUUCGCCAUCAUCAACGUGGUGGUGUUCAUCCAGCCCUACUGGAUAGGCGACAGCGUAAACACGUCGUACGCCGGGUACUUCGGCCUCUUCCACUACUGCAUGGGUGAGGGAAGCUCGAACCGAGAGCUCCACUGCCGGGGCACGUUCUCCGACUUAAGCUCCAUUCCAUCAGGCGCCUUCAAGGCCGCCUUCUUCUUCGUGCUGCUCUCUAUGGUGCUCAUUCUGAGCUGCAUCGCCUGCAUGGCGCUUUUUUUCUUCUGCAACACCGCCACCGUGUACAAGACGUGCGCCUGGAUGCAGCUGCUCUGCGCUGUGUGUCUGGUGUUUGGAUGUAUAAUUUUCCCGGCUGGCUGGGAUGCAGAGGUGGUUCAGGACUUGUGUGGUGAGGAGUCAGGGAAAUACACGCUGGGGAACUGCUCAGUGCGCUGGGCCUACAUCCUGGCCAUCAUCGGCAUUCUGGAUGCACUCAUUCUCUCUUUCCUUGCCUUCGUCCUCGGGAAUCGCCAGAGCGACUUCCUUCAAGAUGAAGUCAAGGCUGACAAUAAAGACUUUGCAGUAUCAAGGCAGCCACUGCACCUGACCUCUACACUCCGAAUGGAUGGUGUAAGAUGAAAUAACUAAGCUAAUUGAUCAAUUUAUCACCCAUGUUUCCCUUCUCUAGAUAUAUGCAUGCAGUCCUAGCAUGCAGCUUGAAUCUACUUUAGCCAGAGAUUUUGGACUUGAUUGUUCUCCCUUUGGUUUAUUGUUACUGACCUGUGUGGCGCAGAAAUUCCCCUUUUUACUAAUAUGUGAUUUCCUCCUUUCAAAUAUUCCCACCCCUAAUUUCACCUUUUUCUGAAUUUAAGAAUUAAGGCCUAAGCAACUAUGAAUAAUGUGGCUUGCAACCAGCACUUCUCAUAUGCCGUUAACGUCAAGGCUCAUUAUAAUUUGUGUAGGUCUAUAGUUCAGCUGGGAUUACACAAAUACCCCGCGAUGCAUCAUGUAAGUAGUUUUUUUCAGUAGCAUUUGUCAUCUACAGCUUCAACUUUGAGCUCAAAGAUGGAACUUUGAAACAAUUACAAUGAAAAAUAUAUAUAAACUUGAUAUUUAGCCAAUGUCUUCAACAGUCUCUGGCCUCUUCCAUUAAUAUGAUUCACUUCUUAGGUGGAAUGGGAAGCAAUGGAUGCAAGUUAAGCUUCUUGUUUGUUUGUUUUUUUUAUUAUUAUUUUUUUUAUCGCUGACUGAAACUGUCUUGACAUAUGUCCUCUUCUCAUAGGAAGUUGCAAGUAAUUCUAUAUAGAAUAAUAUAAAAAAUGGAAAACCAAUAUUAUUUUUUUGGCAGAUACAGUAGCUACAAUAGUUAGCUAGCGCAGUAUUUCAAUCUGUGCUAGCUGAUCUGAAAAUCUGAAACAUUUGAAACCAACUAUUGUGCUGAGUGCUAUCUUCUCUUCUCUGUAGUUUGGUCAGCUUGUUCAGCUGUAAUGUCCAUAUUAUGCACCAUCAACCUCUCAAAUGUCUUUAAUGAAUCCCAAGUAGGAAAAGUCACCUAUCUGCCAUGUUUAGCCAGACUAGAUUAAUUAAGAUAUUUAGAUUGUCCUUCUCAGGCCAAAUGUUAAUGAUCGCAUGCAAGGCAGAGAAGCUGAGCCUGGGCAUCUGGCCCAAAGCCUUCAAAAGCACACAGAGCAGAGCAAAGCAGGGGAGGGGAGAUGAAGUGGGGGGACCAGGUGGUAUCGCAGUGCUCCACCGUAUGUUUCUCUUUCUCAUUCCACCUUUUUUUCUUUAAACGAGGGAAUUCUUUGGUUGUUUACUGUCUGGUGGUGCAGUGGAUUGCCUGGGCCAAGUGGGACAUCAAGCUUUGUGUCAUCAGGCGUCAUAAAUUGAGAUCCGUGACACAAAGGAUCCCCGUUUUGGAGUCCAGCGGUUCCAUUAAAGAGACGCCACCUCCACUUCUUUCUUCUCUUCCUUCUUCAUCCCCCGUGUCCUUCUCUCCUUGUCCUCUCAGGUCUGCGUCUCUGACCUCAGUUAGGAAGCUGCUAGCUCAGCUUUUUGUAAUAUAGGACUGGCCUGGAGCACACUUCAAGAAGAGAACCUAUUCUACAUACAUACACCUGUUUCAAAAUGAAUUCAAAAUCAAGACAAAAAAUCAAUUUAAAAAUUCAGCUUUACAAAUCCAACAACUCUGGGAAAGUGAUGAACCUUACACAGUAUUAUUAUUCUAUAUUAUUACUAUGAUUACAAUGUUACAGUGAUAAUUAUGCUUGCAACAGCAGUAUUAUGUUCAAAUUUACAUAUUUUAUCUAAAAUGGGAAAAAGCAAUUAUUUCUAGCUUUAAAAAAAAUACAUUCUAAUAAUGAAUUAAUGCAUAUGUAUAAGUGCUUGGGUGCUACUUGAGACACAGAUGAAUAAAAAAAAAAAAAAAAUCAAGCCAAAAAUCAAAUAAAAGAAAAAAGGGGCAACAUUUUGUACAGCACAAGAUGAAAUUUUGAAGACCGACUUUUUUUCCUGGAAGAUUUUGAACUCCCUUCUUUGUACACAUGGUCAACAACCAGAGAUUAGUAUGAGAAAAGAAGUAGUUCAUUUGUAAAUAAUAGAUUUCUAUGGAGACAGGGUACAGACAUAACACAUUUAUUGACCCAAACUAUAUUCCCACUCCACCCUGGAGUGGAUUUAUAAAAAUUCUCACCAUUUCUUCAUCUCUUGAUCAAAUGGGAACUGCCAGUUCUCAGAGUUUAUAGCUACCAUGAGGAGGCUAUGUUAAUGUCUGAAGGUUAAACAUUUGUUUUGGCAUGGACCUUUCCAUUGACAACGCUUCACUGGUUAUUUAAUCUUGUUUGCCUUUCUUUCUUUCUUUCUUUCUUUCUUUCUUUCUUUCUUUCUUUCUUUAUUUAUUUAUUUAUUUAUUUAUUUAUAAAUGAGCCUCUGUAAAACAGCAGGGAGGUGACUAGUAAAAUGCCAAUUUUCGCAUUCUGGUUAGAAUAAUUUCAUUCGUUCCUGAACCUUGCUUGUUAUGAUCCUGUUACAUUUAUUUUUGUUUGUAUGUUUGUUUCAUUCAUUUUGUCUUGAUGAAAAGCCCUGCAUGCUGCAUUCUACUCAGGCCCGACAUGUGGAGCACCGAUAAGUUGUAUUUCACCAUUUCCCAGAUCCAAUGAGUCAAGCAUCAGUGAGCUCAUACAAUUGCACAGCACAAACUAGCUGACCAAGACGGGUCAACAUAUGAGGUCAAGGAGCAUAUGUUUGUCUUCAAGGGGACACAAGCAGACUGAAGAUUCAUCUGUGUUUAGCUUCUAAUCUCAAGUUAGGACAUUCAAAGAAACGUUUGGUGCACUUCUGCAACGAGCAAAUCAUGUGCUACAAUCAGCCGCAGGUAAAUGAACCUUUUUAAUUACACAAGCUAAAACUCUGCACGAGACUAAGUUCAGGCCAUUGAGGUGUGGAGUUCAGUACAUUUUGACAUUGUUUAAUGUAAAGAGAAAAAAACACUGUAAUAUCAGAUUUGGUCACAGCUCCGCAGCAAUGUGAUUGAAAGACUGAAUUAUUUUCCGUUUUUAAAAAGGUACAGUGUGAUGGAUGAGAUGGUGGACGUCAGGUGCAGAAACGCCAGAACAGCAUUUUGCUCCGAGAUUCUUAACUAAGCACGGCAAAUAUCCAUGCCAAACAUAAAGCUUCUGAUGUUGCAGUAUGAAAUCUGGCCUGUCUGUUACAAAGAUCCUGAUUGGGGCUUUGAUACAUUAAUCACUGAGGCUAAUUGUGCAAUUGAAUACACCAUGUAGAUGUUUAUAUUCGAAAUGUGUUUACAAUGCCAUUAACGGUUGCGUUUCUGUUCUUUGGUCAAUGUUGGUUUUUAAAAUAGCUGUAAUAGUCUCUUUUCCCCAAAAUAACCAUUGCACACAUAACACCUUUUGUGCUCCCUGGGCAAAGAAUUUCUUGUACAGAGACUUUCCUUGUGCUCCACAAGAAAGUGUUAACAUUGAUGCUGGGAAUAAUUUCCUGGGUCAUUCAAAGGACAACACACACACACACUGCACUAACCUGGAGGGAGAGUCUGGAUAGCACUGUGCAGCUCUGUGGUUGGACACUUUUAAAUACAAGAAGCUGAAGAGGGAAAUUCCUCCAUAUGGUGCUUUAUCCCUGUCUCCUUCUCAAUCAGCGUUCUCUGCAUCACCCCAGCCUCAAACGCCCCACAGCCCUAUGACCAUGGAGGAGGCGUGGGAUGAAGGGGACAGGAAUGCAAUCUGUGAAUGGAAAGGAGAAAAGGGAGUAGUACAAGCAGAACAGAGCAGAACUUUUCCUCAGCCUGCAAAAUAGAAGCAAUGAUCCCCUUGUAGACAUGGCAGAGAGCCUCAGAAUCCCUACAUGUCCACAUUCUCCCUUUGGGCCACACUCCCUCUCUCUCACCAUCAUCCAUGAAGACUUAUAAAUGCAACUCUGUGUUUCCUUGAUAAUAUAUGAACAAACAUAAUAGUGGUUUUUGAUUUUAUGCCUUUUAAGUCUAAACGCUUCUUUUGAGCAUAUAAAGGGGUCACGAGUGGUUCUGAAGUCCGGGAGAAUCCCUGUACUGCAAUUUAGUGUGUUUUUAUGUUACAGCCCACCUGAUUAAACUUAUUAAGGCCAGAUACCUCAGACAAAUAGGCUUUUUUUAUGUUUUAUGAUUGACUCUUAUCAGAACAAAACUUUUCUAAUUAAACCUGGCAUAUCACAGUUUUUUAAUGGAUUAACUUGGAACGAUUCAUAUGAUUCAAAGUGAAGCUAUUUAAAAGGAACUGUCAAUUUUCUAUUUACUUAUUUUGAAAGCAAAGUCACCAUUCUUGCCUGUGGUGUCUGGCUUUAAGAUAGCUGAAGAGCUGAAUCAGGAGCAGAAUAAACACUAGACGACAGAACAGAGGUCUCAAAACGGUGUGACCCGAAAACCCACUGAAAAACAGCUUACUGUCCUCAGGAGUUUUUCUUGUAGUGGGAGUGAAUGUUGUUUGGUUUGGAAAGGAAAAGUUUGGAUAUAGAAAUACACUUGGAUUAUUUUUAUUUCACAAGAGUAAAGGUCACGCUUUAAACUGCAGUAUUAUGCCAUAUUUUGUAUGACACUGACCAUCCUAUUAUUAAAAUAGGACAGGAAAUGUGAAAAUAAUACCAUGAUUUGAGAAGAAUAAGUGCGUGUAAAGGAGUGAGAGCACAGACGCUCAGUGACGUGGGUUGGCACGAGAUCUAGGUAUAAGUCUAAGUCUAAAAAUAUUUAGAAAUCUUUGCUGUGUGGUUUUGGAUGUUCAGAAAGGCAGUGUUUACAACACAACUCCUCCAUCAACUGCCUGCAUUAAUCCAUCCAUCCAUUCACCUGUAAAGGAAAAAGUGAACAAAAAUGCAAAAACUUUUUUGUUUGUUUGUUUGUUUGUUCAUUGCCUUCUUUUUCAAAACUUUUUCAUUUGUUUUAAGGUCCAGAAAUCAGUCUGCUAUCAUAUUUAAUCAUUUAUUAAAACCUGAUUCAAAUUUUAUUUAAUGUAUUUACAUGCCUCAGUGCUACUAUUUCCUUUAGUAUGUACUGAACGAUUGCAUCUUUUAUUUGUGAACAAUGACGUUAUCUUAUUUUGAGGUAUUAAGAUUAAACAAAACUGCAUUGCUUCACUUCUUCCUAACUAAAAUUCAGUGGAUUCUGAACUUGUUUGUUCACACAAUAAUGACCAUUAACUAUUUGCAGAACAGUUGUAUUUCUCGUAAUUAAUAUGCACUCAAUAUCGAGAUGGAGGAGAUGCAAAUGGAACAUUGGCACAUUUUAACAUUGGCCCUGAAGUGUAUCAAUAGCAAUCACAAUGUCAGUGUCCGAUCAGAAACGAUCCUUUCACACGGUUCAUCAUUAUGUAUACAAUUGGAGAAAAGCUAAGGACUCCAGUUUUGGGAAAGUUAUUAAGCUGUUCUUAAUUGCUGUCACUUUCCAUUUCCCUUCUGUCUUUAUUGAUUUUUGUAACUUUCUUUGCAAACUUUUGCUUGGAAGUAGAUGUGCCAAACCAAACUGAGCAGACUGCUGUGGACAGAUAUGACUGAUUUUUUUUUUUCCAGUAUGUAUUUUUUUCCCCCUGUGCAAGUGUUGAAUGCCUUUCUGUUGGAGUUUUGUUUUUUUGGUCUAGUUGUAAAUGUUCUUUUUAAUCUGAUAUUUUCUGGUAUGCUGCGAUGUCUCUUCAUAAAAUGAAAAAUGUUCUUUGAAUGUUUCUGCAAGAUUGUCAUGGGGGAGUGUAAAAUGACUGACAUCGUCAUCGCCACUUACACAUUGUUGGUGUUGUUUUAAAAGAUAAAAAAAAUCCUAAAUAAAUUAUUUGAAUCGGA